GAUGAACGCUGGCGGCGUGCCUAAUACAUGCAAGUCGAGCGAACGGACGAGAAGCUUGCUUCUCUGAUGUUAGCGGCGGACGGGUGAGUAACACGUGGAUAACCUACCUAUAAGACUGGGAUAACUUCGGGAAACCGGAGCUAAUACCGGAUAAUAUUUUGAACCGCAUGGUUCAAAAGUGAAAGACGGUCUUGCUGUCACUUAUAGAUGGAUCCGCGCUGCAUUAGCUAGUUGGUAAGGUAACGGCUUACCAAGGCAACGAUGCAUAGCUGACCUGAGAGGGUGAUCGGCCACACUGGAACUGAGACACGGUCCAGACUCCUACGGGAGGCAGCAGUAGGGAAUCUUCCGCAAAGGGCGAAAGCCUGACGGAGCAACGCCGCGUGAGUGAUGAAGGUCUUCGGAUCGUAAAACUCUGUUAUUAGGGAAGAACAUAUGUGUAAGUAACUGUGCACAUCUUGACGGUACCUAAUCAGAAAGCCACGGCUAACUACGUG
rnacentral:rRNA from 1 species